rnacentral:rRNA from 1 species
AGCAGUGAGGAAUUUUGGACAAUGGGGGAAACCCUGAUCCAGCGACGCCGCGUGAAGGAUGAAGGUCUUCGGAUCGUAAACUUCUUUUGCCUGGGACUAACCGCCCUAUAGAAAUAUGGGGAAUGAAUGUACCAGGCGAAUAAGCCACGGCUAACUUCGUGCCAGCAGCCGCGGUAAUACGAAGGUGGCAAGCGUUACUCGGAAUUACUAGGCGUAAAGGGCAGGUAGGUGGUUUGGCUAGUCUGUUGUGAAAGCUCCUUGCUUAACGGGGAGAGGUCAACAGAUACUGCCAGACUUGAGUAUGGGAGAGGGUACUGGAAUUCCCGGUGUAGCGGUGAAAUGCGCAGAGAUCGGGAGGAACACCAAUGGCGAAAGCAGGUACCUGGACCAUUACUGACACUCAGC